rnacentral:rRNA from 1 species
GACGAACGCUGGCGGCGUGCUUAACACAUGCAAGUCGAACGGAAAGGCCCUGCUUUUGUGGGGUGCUCGAGUGGCGAACGGGUGAGUAACACGUGAGUAACCUGCCCUUGACUUUGGGAUAACUUCAGGAAACUGGGGCUAAUACCGGAUAGGAGCUCCUGCUGCAUGGUGGGGGUUGGAAAGUUUCGGCGGAUGGGGAUGGACUCGCGGCUUAUCAGCUUGUUGGUGGGGUAGUGGCUUACCAAGGCUUUGACGGGUAGCCGGCCUGAGAGGGUGACCGGCGACAUUGGGACUGAGGUAGGGCCCAGACGCGAACGGGAGGCAGCAGUGGGGAAUAUUGCACAAUGGGCGGGAGCCUGAUGAAGCAACGCCGCGUGCGGGAAGACGGCCUUCGGGUUGGGAACCGCAUUAGCCUAUGACGAAGCGUGAGUGACGGUAAUGAGAGAAGAAGCACCGGCUAACUACGUG